UACGUAGGUGGCAAGCGUUGUCCGGAUUUACUGGGCGUAAAGAGCGCGCAGGCGGUCGGAUAAGUCGAAUGUGAAAGCCCCCGGCUCAACUGGGGAGGGUCAUUCGAUACUGUUCGACUCGAAGGCAGGAGAGGGAAGUGGAAUUCCCGGUGUAGUGGUGAAAUGCGUAGAUAUCGGGAGGAACACCAGUGGCGAAGGCGACUUCCUGGCCUGUUAUUGACGCUGAGGCGCGAAAGCUAGGGGAGCAAACGGG
rnacentral:rRNA from 1 species